rnacentral:rRNA from 1 species
CCUACGGGAGGCAGCAGUGAGGAAUAUUGGACAAUGGGCGCAAGCCUGAUCCAGCCAUGCCGCGUGCAGGAAGACGGUCCUAUGGAUUGUAAACUGCUUUUGUACGGGAAGAAACACUCCUACGUGUAGGAGCUUGACGGUACCGUAAGAAUAAGGAUCGGCUAACUCCGUGCCAGCAGCCGCGGUAAUACGGAGGAUCCAAGCGUUAUCCGGAAUCAUUGGGUUUAAAGGGUCCGUAGGCGGUUUAGUAAGUCAGUGGUGAAAGCCCAUCGCUCAACGAUGGAACGGCCAUUGAUACUGCUAGACUUGAAUUACUAGGAAGUAACUAGAAUAUGUAGUGUAGCGGUGAAAUGCUUAGAUAUUACAUGGAAUACCAAUUGCGAAGGCAGGUUACUACUAGUGGAUUGACGCUGAUGGACGAAAGCGUGGGGAGCGAACAGGAUUAGAUACCCUGGUAGUCCACGCCGUAAACGAUGGAUACUAGCUGUUCGGGGCAACCUGAGUGGCUAAGCGAAAGUGAUAAGUAUCCCACCUGGGGAGUACGUUCGCAAGAAUGAAACUUAAAUGAAAUUGACGG